UACGAAGGGUGCAAACGUUGCUCGGAAUUAUUGGGCGUAAAGCGCACGUAGGCGGCUUAGCAAGUUGAAUGUGAAAUCCCUCGGCUUAACCAAGGAAGUGCAUCCAAAACUGCUGAGCUUGAGUACUUAAGAGGAUCGCGGAAUUCCCGGUGUAGAGGUGAAAUUCGUAGAUAUCGGGAGGAACACCAGUGGCGAAGGCGGCGAUCUGGGAAGAUACUGACGCUGAGGUGCGAAAGCGUGGGGAGCAAACAGG
rnacentral:rRNA from 1 species